AGAGUCCUCUCCAGGUGGGGGGUGCGUAACAUCAGCACCAAUUCAUGGCUGACCAAUUUGGAUCUGAAGCCCAAGUGCAAGCCAAGAGAAACUCAAACAAGUUGCUCCUCUGACUUGGACCUGUUACAAACCCAAAAUCCAGAACCAAAAUAGUUCACCAGAUCCCAGCCACAAAGCCGAAGAAGAAUCUAACUUUAAGAACCCAAAGAUCAUAAUAGCACACAACGAUAUGGCAACUAGCAAAACCACUUGGUAACUUAAACCGCUUGCAUAGGAUAGGUAUCAAAUAGAGUAAAAGGUAACAAAGACAGAGUCAUAGAUAUCCUGGCUACUACGAACUGAACAAGAUAACUACGAGCAACAGGCUCCACGGCAAACCAGCGUCAUCGCAGUUCCUGCAGGACAACAGAAACAGAAAUGCACCCAAUCACAGUCAGCAAUGCUUCAACAAGUAGCAGAUAGUUGUAAUCAGUGACAUUGAAAGACCAGUGUAUUUGCUAACCUGGAAGUAUGUUCCCACUCUUGUCAGUCAUAUCACGCCUCCCAUGAACCUCAGGGCACAGCCUGGUGUGAUGCCUUUUCUGGACAACCACAAAGGUGACUGGGGGCAUAUACCCCUCCUCCAAUGAGGCGCAGGCCUUGCAACAGCAAAAUUAAGAACCAUCAGAAUGAGAAAAGCCAAGAAUGUAGACAAAACAGAAAUUUGCAUGUAAUCAUAUGAUGCAGGCUUACCUUCCUGAUUGCGUCCAUUUCAUGAAGCAGAACAUGGCUGAAUUGGCCUUCGCUUGCGCCAUCCCUGUACAUGAGAAUAAUCGGUCAGGCAGUUCCAUUGAAUGGACGGGAUGAAAAGAGUGUCAUGAAUUUGUGCACACACCUGUAGAAGAGUAUCCUCUCAGGCCUCCGGCCUGUCUUUCUGCGGAAGGCAAUCAGUAACUCCCUGUAGAGACAAUUAUGUCAGGUUAGCAGUUGAUCCACAGGGCAAUUGCUACCAAUCGUCUCUGACUAAUCACAAAACUCACCUGAUCAUGCCACCAUUGACAUUACCCCUCUGCGGAUCUUUGGUGACACUGAAGAGGUCUUCGAUUAUCUCCUGCCUGUGUGGUUGAGCAGAGACAAGACCUCUGUACUUGGCGAUCUCUGGCCAGUCACCAUUGAUGCCACCACCUACAUCAAUCCAAUAAAAGAAACUGAUAAGUCUAUUUGUACUCAACAGGUAUGUGCAUCAAGACAAUAAUUCCAUUUGAAAGAUAAAAUCAGACAGAAACAAAUAACGAAUUGACAAACUGUUAGCUAUGGGGAAGAACUAACCGCAGCAAUAGAUGAUGCAGAGUCCUCUCCAGGUGGGGGGUGCGUAACAUCAGCACCAAUUCAUGGCUUACCAAUUUGGAUCUGAAGCCCAAGUGCAAGCCAAGAGAAACUCAAACAAGUUGCUCCUCUGACUUGGACCUGUUACGAACCCAAAAUCCAGAACCAAAAUAGUUCACCAGAUCCCAGCCACAAAGCCGAAGAAGAAUCUAACUUUAAGAACCCAAAGAUCAUAAUAGCACACAACAAUAUGGCAACUAGCAAAACCACUUGGUAACUUAAACCGCUUGCAUAGGAUAUGUCUCAAAUAGAGUUAAAGGUAACAAAGACAGUCAUAGAUAUCCUGGCUACUACGAACUGAACAAGAUAACUACGAGCAACAGGCUCCAUGGGAAAACAGAGUCAUCGCCAUCUCAGUCUCUCACACACAACUGAGGCGAGGGUAGGUCGCACAAAGAACAGCUCCAUGGGAGCUCAGCAGUAGAACAUGACGUCCUUGACGUUCUCCUUGAUCUGGGCAUAGGGUAUACCGUCAGCGAUUUAC
rnacentral:lncRNA from 1 species